ACGGGAGGCAGCAGUGGGGAAUAUUGGACAAUGGGGGAAACCCUGAUCCAGCGACGCCGCGUGAGUGAAGAAGUAUUUCGGUAUGUAAAGCUCUAUCAGCAGGGAAGAUAAUGACGGUACCUGACUAAGAAGCCCCGGCUAACUACGUGCCAGCAGCCGCGGUAAUACGUAGGGGCAAGCGUUAUCCGGAUUUACUGGGUGUAAAGGGAGCGUAGACGGCGAAGCAAGUCUGAAGUGAAAGCCCACGGCUCAACCGUGGAACUGCUUUGGAAACUGUUUUGCUAGAGUGCAGGAGGGGCAGGCGGAAUUCCUAGUGUAGCGGUGAAAUGCGUAGAUAUUAGGAGGAACACCGGUGGCGAAGGCGGCCUGCUGGACUGUAACUGACGUUGAGGCUCGAAAGCGUGGGGAGCAAACAGGAUUAGAUACCCUGGUA
rnacentral:rRNA from 1 species